rnacentral:SRP_RNA from 1 species
CCGUGCUAGAUGGGGAAUUAGCGGUGCCCUGUAACCUGCAACCCGCUGUAGCAGGGUCGAAGUCCUGAGCCGAGGGGAUAUCCUUGUAGGGUCCGGCUUGAAUAAGUAACGAAGAUGUUUGGGUCCUCCGCAAUGGGACACCUUGAACCGUGUCAGGUCCGGAAGGAAGCAGCACUAAAAGGUUCAUCCCGUGUGACGGAGGGCAGCCUGAGCGGAGUCAACUGUUCGAGCAUCGCCUGGAAGGUGUUUUCGAGGCCAGGUGCACGG